rnacentral:rRNA from 1 species
AUUGAACGCUGGCGGCAGGCCUAACACAUGCAAGUCGAACGAGUGGCGGACGGGUGAGUAAUGUCUGGGAAACUGCCUGAUGGAGGGGGAUAACUACUGGAAACGUUAGCUAAUACCGCAUACCAUCGGAUGUGCCCAGAUGGGAUUAGCUAGUCGGUGGGGUAACGGCUCACCUAGGCGACGCUCCCUAGCUGGUCUGAGAGGAUGACCAGCCACACUGGAACUGAGACACGGGCCAGACUCCUACGGGAGGCAGCAGUGGGGAAUAUUGCACAAUGGGCGCAAGCCUGAUGCAGCCAUGCCGCGUGAAUGAAGAAGGCCUUCGGGUUGUAAAGUACUUUCAGCGGGGAGGCGUUACCCGAAGAAGAAGCAACGGCUAACUCCGUGCCAGCAGCCGCGGUAAUAC